rnacentral:rRNA from 1 species
AACGAACGCUGGCGGCAGGCCUAACACAUGCAGGUCGAGCGAGCAUUUCGGUGCUAGCGGCGGACGGGUGAGUAACGCGUGGGAACGUGCCCUUUUCUGCGGAAUAGUCCUGGGAAACUGGGGGUAAUACCGCAUACGCCCUUUUGGGGAAAGAUUUAUCGGAGAAGGAUCGGCCCGCGUUGGAUUAGGUAGUUGGUGGGGUAAUGGCCCACCAAGCCGACGAUCCAUAGCUGGUUUGAGAGGAUGAUCAGCCACACUGGGACUGAGACACGGCCCAGACUCCUACGGGAGGCAGCAGUGGGGAAUCUUAGACAAUGGGGGCAACCCUGAUCUAGCCAUGCCGCGUGAGUGAUGAAGGCCUUAGGGUUGUAAAGCUCUUUCAGCUGGGAAGAUAAUGACGGUACCAGCAGAAGAAGCCCCGGCUAACUCCGUG